CUUUUGACCUCGGAUCAGGUAGGGAUACCCGCUGAACUUAAGCAUAUCAAUAAGCGGAGGAAAAGAAACCAACAGGGAUUGCCCUAGUAACGGCGAGUGAAGCGGCAACAGCUCAAAUUUGAAAUCUGGCUCUUUUAGAGCCCGAGUUGUAAUUUGCAGAGGGCGCUUUGGCGUUGGCAGCGGUCCAAGUUCUUUGGAACAGGACGUCACAGAGGGUGAGAAUCCCGUACGUGGUCGCUAGCCUUGGCCGUGUAAAGCCCCUUCGACGAGUCGAGUUGUUUGGGAAUGCAGCUCUAAAUGGGAGGUAAAUUUCUUCUAAAGCUAAAUACUGGCCAGAGACCGAUAGCGCACAAGUAGAGUGAUCGAAAGAUGAAAAGCACUUUGGAAAGAGAGUCAAAUAGCACGUGAAAUUGUUGAAAGGGAAGCGCUUGCAGCCAGACUUGCCUGUAGUUGCUUAUCCAGACUUUUGUCUGGUGCACUCUUCUAUAGGCAGGCCAGCAUCAGUUUGGGCGGUUGGAUAAAGGUCUCUGUCACGUACCUCCUUUCGGGGAGGCCUUAUAGGGGAGACGACAUGCAACCAGCCUGGACUGAGGUCCGCGCAUCUGCUAGGAUGCUGGCGUAAUGGCUGUAAGCGGCCCGUCUUGAAACACGGACCAAGGAGUCUAACAUCUAUGCGAGUGUUUGGGUGUCAAGCCCAGACGCGUAAUGAAAGUGAACGGAGGUGGGAACCUUUUAGGUGCACCAUCGACCGAUCCUGAUGUCU
rnacentral:rRNA from 1 species